rnacentral:rRNA from 1 species
AGAACGAACGCUGGCGGCAGGCCUAAUACAUGCAAGUCGAGCGCCCAGCAAUGGGAGCGGCGGACGGGUGAGCAACACGUGGGUAACCUGCCCGGAAGUGGGGAAUACCUCGGGGAAACUCGAGCUAAUACCGCAUGACAUCUUGGGACGAAAGUCCUGACGAUCAAAGCGGGGUCGCAAGAUCUCGCGCUACCGGAUGGGCCCGCGCCCCGAUUAGCUAGUUGGUGAGGUAACGGCUCACCAAGGCUUCGAUC